ensembl:lncRNA
GCUAAUCUGCAUAUGCACAUUAGCUCUAUUACCUGUUAGCGGAUUAAAAAGUGACUGGAAGUAGGAAAAGAACUACAUUUCCCAUCUGCCCUGGCUGUCAGAGGCUAAUAGCACCAGCUGCUUUCCAUUGCCCUAAUGAAUGAUUCUACUGCUGCAACGAGACCAAAUACAACGAAAGUAUUGAUGCUGCAAAAGAAGACGGAUCUUUUGGUAGGCUGGUUAAUGAUGACCACAAGCACCCAAAUGGCAGAAUGCAGAAGACUGAAGUGGAUGGAAGCCCACAUCUUGGUCUGUUUGCUUUAACAGACUUUAAAGAAGGUGAUGAAUUACCUGCAAUUACGGAGGAGGAGACUGGCCUUGGUGUAGCAAGGUAAAACAUCUACUCUGAAAAAGAGGAAGGAUCGGGAAGGAAAUGAGGUCCAUGCAGUGGAGAGACAUAUGAAGACCUUCAUCAUGUCAUGUCGUGUCCCAGGGAAGUUGGUCUGUGAAAACUGCAUUAGAUCUGAGUCUUUAUAUCUUAAAGAUAGAGACUGGCAAAGUGUCAAAUUCUAUGUCUAUAACUGCACUGUAGCUUACAAGAGAGAUAUAAACAAAGAUUAAUUACCACUUUGAUAGUAACACUGUACAUCUAUAUUACAG